rnacentral:snoRNA from 1 species
AUUGACCCUGGAGGCAUUGCAGUUGUGGCUGCUAUGUCACAUGAAUGUCAGUGGGUGGUAGAGAGGAGAAGACUAUCAGACUGGCAUC